UACGGAGGGUGCAAGCGUUGUCCGGAUUUAUUGGGUUUAAAGGGUGCGUAGGCGGUCUUUUAAGUCAGCGGUGAAAGCCUCCAGCUUAACUGGAGAAAUGCCAUUGAUACUGGAAGACUUGAGUACAGACGAGGUAGGCGGAAUUGACAGUGUAGCGGUGAAAUGCAUAGAUAUUGUCAAGAACACCGAUUGCGAAGGCAGCUUACUAG
rnacentral:rRNA from 1 species